UAGGGAAUCUUUCGCAAUGGACGCAAGUCUGACGGAGCAACGCCGCGUGAGUGAAGAAGGAUUUCGGUUCGUAAAACUCUGUUGUUAGAGAAGAACAGCGCAUAGAGUAACUGUUAUGCGUGUGACGGUAUCUAACCAGAAAGCCACGGCUAACUACGUGCCAGCAGCCGCGGUAAUACGUAGGUGGCAAGCGUUGUCCGGAUUUAUUGGGCGUAAAGCGAGCGCAGGCGGUCAAUUAAGUCUGAUGUGAAAGCCCCCGGCUCAACCGGGGAGGGUGAUUGGAAACUGGUUGACUUGAGUGCAGAAGAGGAGAGUGGAAUUCCAUGUGUAGCGGUGAAUUGCGUAGAUAUAUGGAGGAACACCAGUGGCGAAGGCGACUCUCUGGUCUGUAACUGACGCUGAGGCUCGAAAGCGUGGGUAGCAAACAGG
rnacentral:rRNA from 1 species